UACGGAGGAUCCGAGCGUUAUCCGGAUUUAUUGGGUUUAAAGGGAGCGUAGGUGGAUUGUUAAGUCAGUUGUGAAAGUUUGCGGCUCAACCGUAAAAUUGCAGUUGAAACUGGCAGUCUUGAGUACAGUAGAGGUGGGCGGAAUUCGUGGUGUAGCGGUGAAAUGCUUAGAUAUCACGAAGAACUCCGAUUGCGAAGGCAGCUCACUGGACUGCAACUGACACUGAGGCUCGAAAGUGUGGGUAGCAAACAGG
rnacentral:rRNA from 1 species